UACGUAGGUCCCGAGCGUUGUCCGGAUUUAUUGGGCGUAAAGCGAGCGCAGGUGGUUUAUUAAGUCUGGUGUAAAAGGCAGUGGCUCAACCAUUGUAUGCAUUGGAAACUGGUAGACUUGAGUGCAGGAGAGGAGAGUGGAAUUCCAUGUGUAGCGGUGAAAUGCAUAGAUAUCACGCAGAACUCCGAUUGCGAAGGCAGCAUACCGGCGCCCAACUGACGCUGAAGCACGAAAGCGUGGGUAUCGAACAGG
rnacentral:rRNA from 1 species